AUGGACUUGCAUGGGUUGUGCAGUGGUUUUGGCAUCUGGUUGGCAUCAUACUGGCUGCUGGAGAGCGGGGUGUAUGGUCGUGAAGGCAGGGCCUCAAUGCAGUGGUGUUGUCGGGGGAACCAAGCCUCUCCCUGGGCUCUUUAUCUCCUGACAUCUACAAUUCUUCUUCCAUCCCAGCCGAGCCUCUUCCUCUGCUGCCAGACGCCUGCUCCAAGGAAGUUUCCUAAAACCAGAUAUCGCCACCUCCUCCUUCCUCCUGCUCCACCUGAGCCUCUGCUUCCUCUGCGGAGAAACUUGUGCCCAGGAAUCCACCUAAAUCCAGGGAUCUCUACAAGCUCCCUCUUCCCUCUGCACCCGAGCCGCUUCAGCCUCAGCAGGACACGCAUUCGAAGGAACCUGUCUACAUCCAUGAAAGCUUUUUCUUCCCUCCCACCUGAGCCUCUUUCUGUGCUGCCAGAACCUGUUGCAAGGAAGAUACUUCAAACAGAGGUCUCCACAGCCUCUGUCUUCCCUCUAUAGCUGACCUGCUUCUGCCUCUGCAGGACUCCCACUUGAAGGAAGCUGUCUAAAUCCAUGUAAGGUGAGUCACAGCUUGGUUGUUUAGGAUUCCAUGCUGAGUCUGGGGGUGGAAGGCUGCUGAUUAAAGCCCUGCUGGCCUAACUCAGAGCUCNGAGGUUGCGGGUUCAAUCCCUGGCCUUGCUCCAUGGGUUAAGGAUCCGGCGUUGCUGUGAGCUGUGGUGUAGGUCACAGACAUGGCUCAGAUCCCACGUUGCUGUGGCUGUGACGUAGGCUGGCAGCAGCAGCUCCGAUUCAACCCCUAGCCUGGGAACCUCUGUGUGCCAUGGGAGCGGCCCAAGAAAUGGCAAAAAAAGACAAAAAUAAUAACAGUAAAGCCUUGCUGUCCUAAUUUAAAUAGGAAGGUUGCUGCUUUCAGGGAAUUAGAUAAAGUCAGGUGUGGAGACUGGCCUGGCUGACUGUGAGAUGGUCCCUCCAUUGUAUGUAGUGCAUCUGAGGGGGCCUAGGGAGAUAUGGGUAUGCAAAUCACAUUAGCAAGAGCCCCGGGCUGGGGCAGAGCAGGGUUCCUCUGUGGGAUGUAGAAGGGCUGAGACUGGCUGUGAAUGCCGCAGCCCACCAGAUGGCGCGCUAGCACUAGCAGAACCCCUUCUGCAUCUCCAGGACUGCACUUGCAAACUCAAAUACAUGGUUG
rnacentral:lncRNA from 1 species